UCCUGGUCAUUUGUUUUCCAAUUUCUUCUUGCAUGUGUUGAGGAGGGGUAGUUUAGGUUUUCUAUAUUUUCCUUAUUUCACUCAAUUUUCACUCAAUUAACUUGUACUUCCUUAGCCGUUCUCCUGGAUUUCCGGCCAAGCCUUGACCCUUUUUCCGUUGCUUUGUCGAGAAGUUUACUGUUCUUGCGGCGAGAAACUAUUCUUUCGGCUGCGUGAGCAUAUACAUAUUCUCAAAGAAGAAUGAAUUUUUAGUUUUUGAAAACUCAUCACUGAUAUUAAGGAGGAAGAACUAAAUAGAAACCAUCUCUCUCCUCCGCAAACCGAUGGCUUCCGAAGAAGACCUCGACGACGGCGAAGAUGACAACAACGGCGAACCAGUGUUGACGACAAUGAAGCAGUGUUGAGUAAGAUUGAUUCGAUUAAAGAGAUUGUCUUCAAGAGCCCCCACCGGGUGAGUUAUUUGUAUCCACAUCCAUCUCUCAAUCUAAGGCUAAUUUAUUUUUAUUUUUUGCAUCACAGCAAAAGCAAUUUGAGUCAAUUAUUAACACUGGUUCAUCGGAAUUAAAACAUAGCUUCCCAGUGAAGGCAAUUUUAAUGUUUACCGGCUUUUCAUGUUAAGUCGAUUAUUAACGAACAUAACUUUGAUUGCUAAGACGGAUGGGUAAAAUCAUGUGGCUCCGAAAAUAACCUAUUUACAGUGGCUCCAUGAAUAAGUAUAUCCCAUCAGUAUUAUAUAUAGGUUAAAUAUUCUCUCUAAUGAUUAGUAUAACCUUUAUGGAAUCUUCUUAGGCUGCGUUCCUAAUUAAAAGUUCGCAUGAUCUAAUUGGUCUGCUCAGUUCUCCGCACCAUUUACAUUUUUACAUUUGUAUAUGGCCAAAGAACGAGUGAUGUAUAUGAUUGAUUAGUUGGUGUUCAAAGUAAGAUGCGAAGGAUAGUGCCUUCCGAUUGUUUGAAAAAAAUCUUUAAUGACAAGAAUGCAGUCAGCUAACGUUAAUUGAUUGUUCGAUGUUGAUGGGACUCUUACAGCUCCACGGAAGGUGCCAUUUUCUCCCCCUAUUCUUGUUAUUUUUCCCACGUUUAACUUUGUUUAGGUCAAAAAGCUGUUUUUUUAAACAUGAAUGUGUGGCUUACUUUUGGUAUCCUGACCAACUUCAAUUUGGAUGUUUAUGACAAUUAGUUGUAGAAAAGUUCUCGUACCUCUACAUUUUUUUCCUUGUAACAUGGUCAAGUGGCCAAUUUAGCAAGACCACGCUUGUGUGUGACCAAUUGAACUUGCCAUGGUUAUUUGAUUAGCUUAGUCUGUAAUGAAUCACUAUAGAGACUGUUUGUUGAAUCUCUCUUAUUCACAUUUGCUUGGCCACGUGUCAGGUAGUUACUCCAGAUAUGUUGAAGUUCAUGCAGGAACUUCAGAAGGUAUUCACUGGAGGCCUUUUUAAUUUUUUUCCAUCUUUACUAUUCAAUAUGCCGUGGUUUUUUCCAUAUGAUAGUUCCUUCCCACAACUGCUUUACAGCUUGGUUUCACUACAGAUUGUUAUUUCAAGCCUUUUUUAGCCUAGCAAACUUCAGGUUUGUAGAAAGUAUUUAAACAAAGUUGUAGAGAAUCGAAUUACCUAUUCAACGCACUUUGAAUCGAGUGAAACGAACUUCAGAUGAGAAAGUUAUGCCCGAAAUACGAAAGGUUGUAUAAGAGGAAAAACAAGACGUCCUCGAGGACGUCCAGACCUGAGGUCCAAUGCCGAAAACAGCAUGUAAACAACAUUUUGAUAAUCUAUUCUCAAGGUUGAUAGUCAGUUCCAAACUGGUGUUCUCGCAAUUUUUGCUAUUGGAGAUGUAGCAGCAUUCCCCCUAAAGAUUCUUAGUUCUCUCUUCCUCUGAGUCUCUCGUUGAAGCCCUCUCAUUGGAUGUUUCGGAAUCCUUUCAGAAUUGAAGGUCAGUUUGGUGUAAAUUUUCACUUAUUUUCUUCCUUCGCAAUGUAGUGUCAAAGGGAUCACCCCAACACGUGUCAUACUUGUGCUCUGUUGUAUGCAACUUUUUUGGGUCUAAAAUUUUAGUUGUCAUUGUGAUGGUAGAAAAGGAAAUAGUUUUGUUUUUUGUCAUUUUUAUUUUGGAUGGUCUAAUAAGAUUUGUUGAGAAUGAUCCCCUUUGUCGAUGAUAUGUGUGGUUCUAUGAGCUUCUUGUUGUGAUUUUAUUUGCCUUAGUCAUAAUUUCAAGAUUAGGUAGGUCAGCUUCUUUAAUUGCUUGAAACAGUUUUAACACUUUUAACUUUGUUGGACAACUAUGAUUCCAAGUCUGCUAUAUAAUACUAUCAGAUAGUGAUGACUGAGAAAGGCAUUUAGUAUAAUUAUCUAUGGUUAUAUUAUGUACUACUACGUAGCUAUUGACAUUCAUAUUAUCUGCUACUACAUAGCUAUUCCACGCCAGACAUUGCAUUUAACUAGAGAAUCCGAAGCAUUAUGUUAAAACUUGAGACGCAGGAUUCGUUUCAUGCCCUGCCAAGGGAUCAUUUAGUGAUUCACUUUUAUCAGCUCCUAAUGGAAUUAUUGGACAUUUGAUUGAAUGGAAUCUCCUUUGGUGAAUUAGCUCACCAGAAAUAUUUGCAUUUUUUUUCGUUCUUAGAUGUUGAAUUUCCUUCUGGGGUCCACUCUGAUUAUCUGACUUCGGAUGUGAACUCACUACUUGUAAAGCUAUCUUUUGUUUUUAGGCUGUGGACUUUAUUACUGUCCAUGGACCAAAUUGCCUUGUUCUCUCAGAAAAAGUGAGGAGAGAAUUCUUAUCAGCAAUUCAUGAAGCUGCCAACAUGGGCUUACCUAAUCCUGCGGAGAGAAGAUCUGUUGCCCAACUAGCAACAAAAUUGCAUCAAAUCUGCGAUGAGGCAUUUUGAUUUUUUCAUCUAUUCAGUCCACAAGUUCACCUCUCUUCAACAUCAACCAAAAUAAAAGCUAUCGAUCAAAAAAGAAAGUUAAAUCUACCAACUAUCUCACUCUCAAAAACUCUCUCUCUCUCUCU